UGUGUGUGUGUAUAUAUAUAUAUACACACACAUAUGUAAGAUCAAAACCACCGAAGAAUGAAAUCGCAAGUAGAGUGGCUUGCGUAUAGGGAUCUUCGAAGAGACACGAGCAUCCCUGUCCCUCUUUAACUAAAAUAAGCGGAAGUAAGGAGCGAGGCAACUCUAAAUUUAGAGCCUGGCGUGCGCUCAUCCUUCGUCCGUGUUAUUACGUUCAGCCUUGUCGUUGCAUAUCUACUACGUUGCCGCUGUUAUAUGCGCACACGACAUAUCUAUGAGAAGAGAAAAACGAGGCCAAUUUUAUUCUAAAAUUUUAAUCUAAAAUAUGCAGUAACAUGUAAUAAUAUGAAUGAAAAAGAACAAAAAAUUUUGUGCUUUAUGAAUUAAUAAAAAAAAAAAAUAAAAAAUAAAAAAUGAAGAUAAAUAAAAGAUAAAAAACAAAACGAAAAUAAUGCAGAUAAAAUACGAACGUACGACGGAGACAAAAGGUUUUAGUUUUAAAAUUCAAAUUUUUCUAACAGAGAAAUGUAUAGCUUUAUUCUAAAAGUUUCGAACAGAUUACACAGGAAAUAGAUAAAUAGAUAGAUAGAUAGAUAGAUAGAAAAAGAGAGAGAGAGAGAGAGAGAGAGAGAGAGAGAGAGAGAGAGAGAGAAAUUGAUUAUGUACAAGCGCGUAAGAGUUUACGCAUUGACCUGACUGCGCCUGUGAAUAAUGCGUGUGUGCGUGCGUGAGGCAGAGACCAGCUGACUGCCAAAACAGCUGUAGCGAUAUACGAUGAUGCAUCGUGGGGUGUUCGCCUCGUUCCGUUUCUCUCCUUCUUCCCCCACCCUUCUCACCACACCCUCUCACUCUCUCUCUCUCUCUUUCUACCUAUAUCCGUCUUCCUCGUCAGUCGAUUGGAGGAGGGUUUUCAGACUGACUGUGAUUUAACCUCGUAUUUAUGUCUACUUUCUGGCGUAUUAUGCGCUCAGCAAGCCAUUUCGAUUUUCAUCGUAACCGUUUGUUCUCUCACAGAAUAAAAGCACUAUAUUGGGAUUAAGUUUUUAAGUUCUCAAUAAACUGAACGUUAGUUAGAAACUGUGAACGUUGUUCAAUUGUCCAGAAUCCAGAAAAAUGAAACGAAGCAAAGCACGAAAAUGCGAUGUUAUGCGCAUGAUGUUUGUCUUGAUAAAUUUUCAUAUGCUCUAGAAAUAUAGGAGAAAGAGAGAGAGAGAUAGAGAUAGAGAAAGAGAGAGAGAGAGAGAGAGAGAGAGAGAGAGAGACAGAGAGAGAAAGAGAGACAGAGAAAGAGAGAGAGAGAGAGAGAGAUAAAACAUGUUACAUGCUCUUCAUGCGUUUAUCGUCUCACAAAUACGUCGCUCGCAAGGAUAUAAAAUUUAACGCUUGCGUUCACAAAGCACAAGACUGCAAAACGUAAAGUACAUUUUCCUUGACCGAUAGCGACCUACACCGAAUGCAUAAAAAUGGUCUAAAAUGUGAAGUAUCAUAUUAGCUGUAAAAAAAAGAAAAAGAAAAGAAAAAGGAAAACAAUAAACAAUUGAAAAUGACAAGAAAUGUGCUCAAACAUUUAUCUAUCAAUAAAUCGAAACACUUAUGAAUUAACGAUAAUUUAAUAUACAAAUUCGAUUGUUGUAAGAAAAUUAUUUCACAAAAUGUCCAUAUUUAAGAAAAUUUAAAAAAAAAAGAAAAAGAGAAAAUAGAAAAUAGAAAUCUCGUUUAAAAAAAUUCACAAAAGAUUCGAAUAAAAGUUUAAUAUACCUCGGUAUAUCACAAAUUCUUAUCUUGCAAUGAACGAGUCCAAGCGUUCUGAUAAUGAAUGUAUGUAAGCGACACGCAUAAGGCGGUACUAUACCGGAAGGUUUUACAUGAAUCUUGAGGUCUAAUGUCUCAGAGAAAACGAUAAACCAUGCCUGACCAUCAGGCAUUAUGAGAUUCAUGAAUGUGCUAUUGUUAAUUGUUCUGCCACCGCUAGAUUACAGUAGUUGCACCAACUUAAGGAAAUCCACGUAUUACGAGAGGUCUACCGCCAACUUUACUCGUUGAAUUGGACUGUUGAUGGACAAGACAGGAAGAUUUCUAAAUCAACGAUUAUCUUUUAAUUAAACGUUAUCAUCAGAUCAUACUUGAUUCCUCUUUCUCUCUCUCUCUUUCUCUCUCUCUCUCUCUUUCUUUCUCUCUCUCGUAUCUAAAUAUCAGAUUUUCAAAAUAUUCGAAACAUUCAAAUAUUCUCAAAAUAAUAGAAUCAAAAUUGGCCUUGUUAAAAAUAUUUUUUCAUUUAACGAUAAUGUAAAAUGAAUUCCAUUCCAAUAAAAUAAAAAAUAAAACUAUAUUGUUGAACGCCAUUUAUGAUAUAAUAAUAAUACUAAUUAUUAAUUGAAUUCCGAAUAAGUAAAAUAAAAUGGUAAACUAUCAUAUCGUUAAUGUUUUAUAUUUCUUGAUCACAAUACGAAUUCACCUUUUAUCUCGAAUCCGAUCGCUUUUGUUAAGUUUCAAGGCGGAUUAACGAUAUUCUAGUUAAUCCAUUUGGAAAAUAUCUACUUCCUUUUAGUUAUUCGUAUAUCCUAAUCGAUAGUAAAAAGGGACGUAUCAAAGUCGUUAAAGUGUAUUUGUUGAGAAAAGCAGACGCCGUGCUCGGAUAAAAAAUACCAUCAUUGGGAGAUAAAGCGAAACACCCCCAAAAACUGAUAUGACUGAAUUAUGUGGACAAAUACAAUCGUUGAACAUUCUGAA